AACGAACGCUGGCGGCAUGCCUAACACAUGCAAGUCGAACGAGACCUUCGGGCCUAGUGGCGCACGGGUGCGUAACGCGUGGGAACCUGCCCGUAGGUUCGGAAUAACUCCCCGAAAGGGGUGCUAAUACCGGAUAAUGUCUUCGGACCAAAGAUUUAUCGCCUUUGGAUGGGCCCGCGUUGGAUUAGCUAGUUGGUAGGGUAAAAGCCUACCAAGGCGACGAUCCAUAGCUGGUCUGAGAGGAUGAUCAGCCACACUGGGACUGAGACACGGCCCAGACUCCUACGGGAGGCAGCAGUGGGGAAUAUUGGACGAUGGGCGAAAGCCUGAUCCAGCAAUGCCGCGUGAGUGAUGAAGGCCUUAGGGUUGUAAAGCUCUUUUACCCGGGAUGAUAAUGACAGUACCGGGAGAAUAAGCUCCGGCUAACUCCGUG
rnacentral:rRNA from 1 species